rnacentral:rRNA from 1 species
GACGAACGCUGGCGGCAUGCCUAACACAUGCAAGUCGAACGGAGAUUAUUUCGGUAAUCUUAGUGGCGAACGGGUGAGUAACGCGUGGGCAACCUGCCCUCUAGAUGUGGACAACAUCCCGAAAGGGGUGCUAAUACCGAAUGUGACAGCAAUCUCUCAUGAGGAUUCUGUGAAAGAUGGCCUCUAUUUAUAAGCUAUCGCUAGAGGAUGGUCCUGCGUCUGAUUAGCUAGUUGGUGGGGUAACGGCCUACCAAGGCGAUGAUCAGUAGCCGGUCUGAGAGGAUGAGCGGCCAGCUUGGGACGGAGACACGGCCCAGAGGGCUACGGGAGGCAGCAGUGGGGAAUCGUCCGCAAUGGGCGAAAGCCUGACGGAGAAAUGCCGAGUGAGUGAUGAAGGAAUUCGUUCCGUAAAGCUCUUUUGUUUAUGAGGAAUGUGCAGAUUGUGAACAAUGAGCUGGAAUGACGGUAGUAAACGAAUAAGCCACGGCUAACUACGUG